AUAAAUUAGAUCAUGCAAUAUAUAACACCAUUUUGGCUAAAACUCAAGCUGGAAAAAUAGAAUUCAAAAGAGAGGAAAAAAUAAUAUAAGCCCAGAAAUCAUGGUAUUACAUCAUUGAAGCUAUCUGGUCAAUUUGCAAGUACAUGCGAGAUCAGCUCCACGGUUCCAGGAUAACAAAUUAAACUCCAUGUGUUCGUAUUAAUCACAUGACUAGGAUCACCAAGUCUGCUACCAACUAUAUGAGAGUAGUACGACCAUUCCAAUAUUUACGCUUGUUCAUAUUAUAACAAAAAGAACCAUCCCCAGAACAAGAAAUAACCAAAACUCUUGUAUAAAUCUAGGGUUUAGAUAUAGAUAUAAACUUUAACAAAAAAAAAUAAAGCUGACAGCCUGAAUUGUGCAAUUUUCAAAAGCGACCAACCUUUUAUUCACUAAUCCCCUAUACUCACGCACCAAACCAAUGAUAGACCAAUACAUUUCUAUUAUCAAACAUGCAAAACUUUCUGUUUGCUAACUUAGAAAUUUCUUUAUUUAAUGAUCAUUAGAACAAAGGUGAGUAUGAAACCAAGAGUUCAAUACAUAGAGACUGCAUUGUUUGCCAGAAAACAUUGCAGUUGUUUGUCCAUUUUUGACACGCACCCGACUCCUGUCAACAGCGAGUCGGUGCAGUCAGCAUGCAUCGAGGACAAUCCUGUCAUCUUUUUUCACAAGUUUGAAAAAAGACCUUCCUAGUGCUUUUGUCCAUUCUGUAACCUGUAGACAUUUAUUUCAAUCAUUUGUCAACAAGAAGUUUACCCUUUUCUCCAUUCUGUAACCUGUAGACAUUUAUUUCAAUCAUUUCUCAACAAGAAGAUUACCCUGAAAUCCGUAUCAAUCGGGUCACCAGAGGGCUUUCACGGCAGAAGUAAUUUGGACGAAGGAUUGGGUGUGAUCGGGCCUCUCGAUUCCUUCUCAGACGCAUUAUGGAGCACCGAGCGUCGGUCUAACUUCUGAGAGAGAAACCACGACUGAUCGGUCUCUAAUCGAUUGGAUUUUGACCCCACUGCCUAGCUGAUUGAUGUGUCUAGCUAUAGUAAUGAGGAUCAGAACAAUGAAAGGUGAAUCGAGCUGUGAUUGAACGCUCAACUCCAACUCAAGUUCGGAUCAGAGAACUCGUCGAGCAGAGUCAGAUAGAGCUCACUUUUUCGGCGAAUGGCCGGUGAUCGGAGAGGGCUUCCGUUACCAUUUGGAUCAUCCAUGCCAGAGAUCCUCUCCACCAAAUUUGAGGUGAUUCGGUUCAGAGACGGUGGAUAUAUGAAGCUCAUAAGAAAUUCAGGCCAAACCGGCGGCGAUGAUGAACAAAUCCACCGAUAGCAGGCGGUGCCCCAAAUUUCUUGUAAAACUCGGGGUAUUCUGCAAAAUCUGGUGAACGAACUCAAUAAGCUUGUGCUUAAACAGAUUACAAAGCUUCUGUAAUUGAUUGUUUGGUGGAUUGAUCGAAUUCUGCAUCGAAAUCGAGUGAAAUCGGGCGACCCUGUCCUGAAGCAGAACGUCAUGGGCGACAAAGAUCUUCAUCCUCAACACGUUUCUUCUCUGGUGGUCGGAUUUGGCUAAAAAUUAGAGCGUCCACUCCCCUCCUCAUGCCCAAUUUAUGGUCCAAACUUCAAGCAAAUCGGAGUUCUGCUCGAUUUUCUAAAAAUCUGCGAGUUCAAGUCAUCGGCUGUGUAACAGGGUGACUCAGGCUUGGAGAAGAAAGACCCAGGCGACAUGGAUCUUUAUCAGGGGCGCGAUUUCUCCCUGAAACGAAUUUGCUGCUGCAAAUCUGGGCGGCCCACCCUCUCUUUCUAUACCAGUGCUGACCAAUUUUCAUCGAAAUCGGAGCUCUAGGUGAUUUUUAAAAAGUUCAACGAGUGGACCUCUCUGAGCGGCUUCUGAAGCAGAGAGACGCUUGAGUUCAAGUAUCGAGGCCAAGCCUCAUUGUUUCCCCAAUAUCGACCGAGAUCUUCCACUUCCUGGUGAUUUAAUCCAUAUUUCUUUCAUUUGUUGAUUACAUACUUGUCGGGAGUUUGAUAUUUGUGUUGUUGUUUCCCUGAUUCGGACAGAAACUUCACCUGCGGGAGACGAAGAAGCUGAAGUCGAUGCAGCAAGUGGUUGGCGUCUGUCGGUGCUUCCGACGGCAGCAUCCCCCACUUUCCGACAACGAAUUGGGGUUCAACUCGGAUCUGGGGAUUGCAUUCAUAUCGGAUUGUUCUCUGUUUUACUGUUUAUGCGAGACCAAUGAUUGCAUGUUAUCUAUUUGAUGUUCUCUGUUGCUGAGAUUUGAGAAGCAUCGGCUGGGGAGGUGAACAAGGAACUUUGGAGGAGAAGGGUGACCGCCGGUACCCGACCAGCGACUACCUCCCCCUUUACAUCAAAUACAAGGGACAAAAUGAUUCCACGGUUACACAUUUCCUCCUUCAAUUCCCUAUUUUGGUUGUUGUUCAUCUCUAUAGUAGUAACCUGCGCAUUCUUGUUUUGUGCUAAGGAGAAACCGAGACAGCGACUGGUUAGCGAGCUUGGGAACGAGCUGCGAGCUGGUCCCAGCACAAGACGAGGUGGAUUGGUGAAUGCCAAGGAUUAUUGACUGGUUUUCAUCCUUGUAGUGUCCCCAAACUAGCUCCGAGAGGGAGGCUAUUGCAGUUGUGGGAGCAGCCAGCGCACACAGACAGAUCUCUAGGGAAGCUAUCGCGGCACUUGAGACAGCAGCAGUAGCGGCAGCGCACGGCGUGGGCGUUGUAUUCUUAGGGAUGUUACCAUGGCUAAGAGGCCGCCUAGCGCAUCCGGGAGAAAUCAUAGAGAGGCUAUUCAGCAAGCCCAGCCCGGUUUAGAGACCGAGCCCAGCAACAGGACCAUGAGCGAGUCACGCACCCGGGCGACCAGCGCCCAGCCAUCCGAGGAGCAUAGCACAGACCAGAUCGGUUUAGAUGCAGCCAGGUUGGUCCGAGUUCAGGGGCGACCAGCGCCCAGCCAUCCGAGGAGCAUAGCACAGACCAGAUCGGUUUAGAUGCAGCCAGGUUGGUCCGAGUUCAGCAGCCGGACCUAGCCACCACAGCAGCAGCAGGGUUCGGACCUACACUCAGUGGGUUCGGACCUAGAUGAGCAUGUGGGACCGAGACAGGUGCAUAUCAGACUGAGACGCGGUCAGCAUGGGUGCGUUCUUUACAAGAACAGGUUCGUUGGACCCGGUUCAGUGGAGUUUACUUCUGUAUCGUUUAUGUUUCGUAUCAACUCUUGUACCAUCUGUAGACCAGACAGAGACCAUCCCGAAACAAGCUACAGUAUAAAUGAUCGUUAACUCUGUAA